rnacentral:lncRNA from 1 species
CGCGAACAGGUUUAAGGACUAAACGACAAAUCCUCCUUUGUCGAGUCUAAAUAGUCCUAAGGACUUCACCACAACACAGGAGUUCAUCAGAAGAUGAAAUAAUUUGUGAUAAAAAAUAUCAAAAUAACUUUUAUUUAUUUAUAAUUUAUAUACUAAUACAAGAAAGAGCACAACCAUCAACAGACUGACGAUUGGCUUUGGGAUACUAUUUCCAACAGUGAAGACUAGUGAAAAGUGGCCG